GCAGGGGUGGCAGAGCUUGGUCAAAUGCGCAGGACUAAGGAUCCUGUGUCUUAGGACUACGUGAGUUCAAAUCUCACCCCCUGCA
rnacentral:tRNA from 1 species